rnacentral:rRNA from 1 species
AUUGAACGCUGGCGGAAUGCUUUACACAUGCAAGUCGAACGGCAGCACGGGUGCUUGCACCUGGUGGCGAGUGGCGAACGGGUGAGUAAUGCACCGGAACGUAUCCAAUAAUGGGGGAUAACGCACCGAAAGGUGUGCUAAUACCGCAUACGCCCUGAGGGGGAAAGCGGGGGGAUCGUAAGACCUCGCGUUAAUGGAGCGGCCGAUGCCGGAUUAGCUAGUUGGUGAGGUAAAGGCUCACCAAGGCGACGAUCCGUAGCUGGUCUGAGAGGACGACCAGCCACACUGGAACUGAGACACGGUCCAGACUCCUACGGGAGGCAGCAGUGGGGAAUUUUGGACAAUGGGCGCAAGCCUGAUCCAGCCAUUCCGCGUGAGUGAAGAAGGCCUUCGGGUU